rnacentral:rRNA from 1 species
GUGGGGAAUAUUGGGCAAUGGGCGCAAGCCUGACCCAGCAACGCCGCGUGAAGGAAGAAGGCUUUCGGGUUGUAAACUUCUUUUACCAGGGACGAAACAAAUGACGGUACCUGGUGAAUAAGCCACGGCUAACUACGUGCCAGCAGUCGCGGUAAUACGUAGGUGGCGAGCGUUAUCCGGAUUUAUUGGGUGUAAAGGGCGUGUAGGCGGGACAGCAAGUCAGAUGUGAAAACCAGAGGCUCAACCUCUGGCCUGCAUUUGAAACUGUUGUUCUUGAGUGUCGGAGAGGUAAUCGGAAUUCCGUGUGUAGCGGUGAAAUGCGUAGAUAUACGGAGGAACACCAGUGGCGAAGGCGGAUUACUGGACGAUAACUGACGCUGAGGCGCGAAAGCGUGGGGAGCAAACAGGAUUAGAAACCCUAGUAGUCC